rnacentral:rRNA from 1 species
UCCAGAGGUCUCAAGCGUUGUUCGGAUUCCUUGGGCGUAAAGGGUGCGUAGGUGGCGGGGCAAGUCAGGUGUGAAAUCUCGGGGCUCAACCCCGAAACUGCACUUGAUACUGCCUUGCUCGAGUACUGGAGAGGAGACUGGAAUUUACGGUGUAGCAGUGAAAUGCGUAGAUAUCGUAAGGAAGACCAGUGGCGAAGGCGAGUCUCUGGACAGUUACUGACACUGAGGCACGAAGGCCAGGGGAGCAAACGGG